GCUGUUGCGGACGCCGCGGGAGCGGAAGCCAUGGCUGCGUUAGGCCUCGCUUCGUUGCUGGGCCGCGUCCCGGCUACAGCGUGGAGAGCGGCAAGAUCACCCCUUCUGUAUAAUUCUUUGAGGAAAAUAAGUUCUCAAGGAGGAAAACCUGAACCUAGCAAACAACCUCUUAAGAAGCCAAAGUUACCAGAAGGUCGUUUUGAUGCACCAGAAGAUUCCAGUUUAGAGAAGGAACCACUAACAAAAUUUCCAGAUGAUAUUAAUCCUGUUACAAAAGAGAAAGGUGGACCCAGAGGCCCAGAACCUACCCGAUACGGAGAUUGGGAACGAAAAGGACGCUGUAUUGAUUUUUAAGCCACAUGUUUUACUGUAGUAUCUUUUUCUGAUAGUGUACAUCUGAAUUAACUUUUUUUUUAUUAUUGUUUUUCUGUACAUCAUUUAUGUUUCCUAAUUUCUAUAAUGUGUUUUAAAAUAUAUGUGAUAGCUUUGGAAGAAAACAUGCUGCUAUAUAUUAGGAAAGAGGAAAUAUUUUUAUAUUAGCACAUUAAUUUUAAUUUAAAUCUUUUGGGGUAUUUAAGGGAUGAUUAGAGCUGCAAACUUUCAUUUCAUCAUGUUUCAAUUUAAGUUAGUUGUUUAUAAGAUACAAGUGUAAAUAAAACUUU
rnacentral:lncRNA from 1 species